UACGGUAUCGUUCAAGGGUAGGACAACGGACUUUGACUCUGUCGAUGCUGGUUCGAAUCCAGCUACCGUAACCA
rnacentral:tRNA from 1 species